rnacentral:lncRNA from 1 species
GAUUUGACACGUCAAUUAAUGAGGCUUGAUCCAAUGCUCCGUCUGAUUUUAAUUAUUUCUCUGUUUUCAUUUUUAAUUCAUUUUUCUUUUAAAAUUCAUUUUACAUCCAAAAAUUCCCAAAAUAAUUUUUAAAAUUCUCAUUUAUUUUUCUCCACCUGAUUUUUAUUUUUCUAUAUUUUGUUUGAUUGAUUUUCUAUUUUUUGUGGAAUU